rnacentral:rRNA from 1 species
UCGGGAAUAUUGGACAAUGGGCGAAAGCCUGAUCCAGCCAUGCCGCGUGUGUGAAGAAGGUCUUCGGAUUGUAAAGCACUUUAAGUUGGGAGGAAGGGCAGUUACCUAAUACGUGAUUGUUUUGACGUUACCGACAGAAUAAGCACCGGCUAACUCUGUGCCAGCAGCCGCGGUAAUACAGAGGGUGCAAGCGUUAAUCGGAAUUACUGGGCGUAAAGCGCGCGUAGGUGGUUAGUUAAGUUGGAUGUGAAAUCCCCGGGCUCAACCUGGGAACUGCAUUCAAAACUGACUGACUAGAGUAUGGUAGAGGGUGGUGGAAUUUCCUGUGUAGCGGUGAAAUGCGUAGAUAUAGGAAGGAACACCAGUGGCGAAGGCGACCACCUGGACUGAUACUGACACUGAGGUGCGAAAGCGUGGGGAGCAAACAGGAUUAGAUACCCACGUAGUCCCUGAGCGGGCUGGCAAGGCGCAU